rnacentral:misc_RNA from 1 species
ACAAUGCAGGACAGGCAGCAGGU